AACGCUAGCUACAGGCUUAACACAUGCAAGUCGAGGGGCAGCAUAAAUCUAGCAAUAGAUUUGAUGGCGACCGGCGCACGGGUGAGUAACACGUAUCCAACCUACCUAUUACUCGGGUAUAGCCUUUCGAAAGAAAGAUUAAUCCCCGAUACGAUAUUGAGUUCGCAUGAAUUUAAUAUGAAAGAUUUAUUGGUAUUAGAUGGGGAUGCGUUCCAUUAGAUAGUUGGUGAGGUAACGGCUCACCAAGUCUUCGAUGGAUAGGGGUUCUGAGAGGAAGGUCCCCCACACUGGAACUGAGACACGGUCCAGACUCCUACGGGAGGCAGCUGUGAGGAAUAUUGGUCAAUGGGCGAGAGCCUGAACCAGCCAAGUAGCGUGAGGGAUGACUGCCCUAUGGGUUGUAAACCUCUUUUAUAAGGGAAUAAAACGCUCCACGUGUUGGAGCUUUGCAUGUACCUUUUGAAUAAGGAUCGGCUAACUCCGUGCCAGCAGCCGCGGUAAUACGGAGGAUCCGAGCGUUAUCCGGAUUUAUUGGGUUUAAAGGGUGCGUAGGCGGACUGAUAAGUCAGCUGUGAAAGUUUGCGGCUCAACCGUAAAAUUGCAGUUGAAACUGUCAGUCUUGAGUGUACAUAAGGUAGGCGGAAUUCGUGGUGUAGCGGUGAAAUGCUUAGAUAUCACGAAGAACUCCGAUUG
rnacentral:rRNA from 1 species